rnacentral:lncRNA from 1 species
GAGGCGUUAAUGCUACUUAAUUUAUUUAUAGUGUGAGUAACGGCAAGUUGCAUCGAAUUAUUGGAUUUUGGUAACUGUCAGAUAAAUCCUUUUUAGUCUCUAAUUUUUGUAAUUUUAUACUCCAAAUCAAGAAAAUGUCAGUUAAUCAUCUAUACUAUUAAUUGGGAAGGACAACUUGAAGCCAAACAGACCCAAUUUAAAAAAAAAAAAUUUCAUGAAAUAUAUUUCAGUUGCCAAACAAAACUAAUGACAGCAAAAAUGUUUUAAUAAAUAAAUAAAUAAUAAAAAAC